rnacentral:rRNA from 1 species
GAUGAACGCUGGCGGCGUGCCUAAUACAUGCCAGUCGAGCGAACAGACGAGGAGCUUGCUCCUCUGACGUUAGCGGCGGACGGGUGAGUAACACGUGGAUAACCUACCUAUAAGACUGGGAUAACUUCGGGAAACCGGAGCUAAUACCGGAUAAUAUAUUGAACCGCAUGGUUCAAUAGUGAAAGACGGUUUUGCUGUCACUUAUAGAUGGAUCCGCGCCGCAUUAGCUAGUUGGUAAGGUAACGGCUUACCGAGGCAACGAUGCGUAGCCGACCUGAGAGGGUGAUCGGCCACACUGGAACGGAGACACGGUCCAGACUCCUACGGGAGGCAGCAGUAGGGAAUCGUCCGCAAUGGGCGAAAGCCUGACGGAGCAACGCCGCGUGAGUGAUGAAGGUCUUCGGAUCGUAAAACUCUGUUAUUAGGGAAGAACAAAUGUGUAAGUAACUAUGCACGUCUUGACGGUACCUAAUCAGAGCCACGGCUAACUACGU